UUAAUGUAGCCCUAACAACAUUUCUGUUUACAUUUUCUGUUAUGUUUUCCACAUUCAGGAAGUGCCAUGUGCUAGAUGCUGUAGUUUUAUGUAUUCAAUUUAUUUAGUAUUAGAGCACUGCAGAAUGUUUUGUUUUUGAGGCUAGAAAAGCUAUGAAUCAAAUAUCCUGUAUGGCUUUAAAUGUGUAUUUGACACAUCGUGAUGCAUCAUGAUGCAUUGGGGUAUUGAAUCGAAGACAUGAUAAUUGCAGUUGAAUCGGGAGAUCAGUGAAGAUUCACACCUCUA